AAACAUGCGAAGAAUCCAACUUUUCUGGACUACCUAUUACAUAAUUUCUUAGAGAUAAAACCAAAAUUUCUUGAUAUAACUGCAGCAUUUAUUAUUAUUAUUAAUAACGUAUAUUCCGUACAUUUAAUUCAGAAAAUAAACGGAUACGUUGAAUGGUUGAAGCGCAAUGCGAACUUAAUUGAUGAAAUAAAGAAAAGGUAAAUUUAAUCAAUAUU